rnacentral:lncRNA from 1 species
ACUGGGUCACAUGAGCUCAAAAACUAGGUCACUAUGUCAAGUAAUAGAAAAAACGACAUCAUACUCAAAACUGGGUCAUGUGGAAAGAGGUGAGCGAUUCAGGACCAUCAUGGUCCUCUUGUUGUGCUUAUUAUCACUGCAACUGAAUGAAACCUGAUACAUGUCUUCCCCAUGGUAGUUGUGAAUAAUGAUGUAUAAUUAUUGUUUCAUUCUGAUGAAAUGCUGCCACUUACCGGCUUGGGUAUUUGAAAAGUGGUGAGAGCUGUUGUAUUCACCCAGGCAGCGAAGCCUACAUCCCAUCUUUGUUAAAAUUUGCAUGCAAGUUCACUUCUGAGUGACUACUGCAUGUACUGAAUUGAAACUUCACUCGAGGCUUCCUGGUCAUUUAACCUACUGAAACUACCAAGUCGGCUUCUGUAUUCACCCUUUGUCGAUGUCCUCUUCACAGAAGUUUUACAUGUUAUCAGGUUUCUCUGAAACUGCUAGGCCAUAUGCUUUCAAACUUCAUGUCUUUUGGUUAAAGUUUUUAGUGGCAAAGCUCGAAUUUAGAGUCAAGAACUGAGAAAAGUCUAGCAUGCUGUCAUCGGACAGCUCUUGUUAACUUAGAAAUUUGAGUAAAAAUAUUCAUAAUGUUCACUACCUCUGCAGUGCAUUGACAAUGACAAUGACAAUUCUUUAUUUGUUCAAGGCCUUCGGCCCAUGCAGGGUAUAUACAAUAUACAUAUACAAAGCUUUCAAAAUCAGUAUAGUGUGCGUAUAUAGAUAUAAACAUAUAUAACAGUGUUGCAAUAUGAGUAUUUGUUUCAUAAGUAUUUACCUCCAUCAAUCUAACAUCUAAAUAUCUUGCUGUAAUAAAGUUUGUAAAAGUUGCUUUUCUCAAAUGCAUAAUAAAGAAUUGAUAAAUUGGA